AAUCCGGUGGGUGAUUUGUGUGUUGUGCUCUCAAGCGCCGCUGCCAUUACUUGUGGUGUCGGACUGGAACCGAACACGUUUACACCGACAGUGAAAGCAGAGAUCUGUCGGUAAAUCAUGGUCAGCAGUCAGAUGAAGGUAGUCUGUGUGAAUGUGGAAGUUGUUCAGUCUCGCACUAGUCUGACAUUAAUAAUGAUGCAGUGCUGUGUGGAGUAGUUUAGCUAAUUAAACCCCACAGGAAUGACUUGCUAGUUUAUGAUUUAACUCAAAUUCUGUGAUUUCUGUCAUUGUUUAGUAAAAAUGCAUCAUUUAGUAAAAAUUGGAAACACAUGAUACUGUUAAAGUGGAAUUUUGGGCAUGAAACAGUACCAAGCUAAUGUGGGGUUGGCAGCUCACCAUCGACCCUGUGUGGGCAGAUCAUUUGGCCUUUAGUGGUCCCUCGUUGGUCAGAAUGUGAUGGAAACAUGUGAAGUAAAAUAGAUUUGGUGUGAAGACAGACAUGAAGUAGAGGCAAGUGACUUUUACUUUCCAUUUUUUGUCUCAUUGGAGUAGCUGAUAACAGCAAAGAACAAAACUGAUAAAACUGGACUAAACUUCAUUCCAAAAUCAGUUUUAGUGGAUUAUAACCUUUAGUUUAGUGGCAUUUGAUGAUUAUACGUUCAGCUCAAAAGGACAGAUUUCUUGGCAAACGUGCUUAAAAAGUGAAAUCUUUUAGCCUUUUAGAACCUGGAUUCAUCUAUAGUCACAAUAUUUAUAUGUCUAACAUGUUGCACUAUAGUUUUGGCACCUAAACAGUGAAACAGUGAACCUCGUAUUGUCAGAAAGAGACUCUCUUGGUAUAUUUUAGAGUCGUCCUAAGACGUAUUCCUAAACCUUUAUGUGAUAUUAUUUCUGCAAGAAUAAUUGUUACAAUUAUAAAUAACUUCUUUAAAUUUAUAGGUGUUUGUUCUGUGUGUAUGUUUGUGCACGUGUCUAUAUUUGAAUUUGACCUCUGAAUCACUGCUGACAUCUCCAAAUGAUCCAGCAAACAGACGUGACACAAAAUUGAACUUCACUCUGAAUACUUUCAAUUCUUUUCUUUUUUAAUCACUGAGUGGGUGUCUUGUUUGCGAAUUAAACUAUUCACAGUUCCAAAUAUGCUGGAUCAAAUUUAAUUGUACCUUGUUUUAUUAAACAGGUUCGAACGUCUACAUAGAGACACAGCUUGAAUGUGAAAAUUAAUGAGGGAGAAGGGUGUUGGCUGACAAGUAGAUGUAAAAGGGCCUUUCAGCUCUCCACAGAGAACACAGUCGUCGAGGGCAUCCACGUUGAUGAUGGUCCAAUUAAAAGAUGAAGACACAUUUGUCAGAGGUUAAAUACGUAAUCUGUGCAAGGAAAAUGAGGCGAGAGCUCCAGGAGUAUUUAAGCACAGAGGAGCAACUCAGGGAAACAAUGAGAAGAUUGUGAUUCAGGGAUUCUAGUGAAAUCGUGAUGGACAAAUUCCUCUGGAGCCAGAGUGGAGGUAUUUCAGUAUAAACCUGCUAAAUGCCCCUGUGUGCCGCAGCAGCAGUUGCAUGGUGUUGAUGGAAAAAAAAAGUUUUAUGUCCCAAUAAAAGCCGGUUUACUGCAGACUAACUCGGUGUGUAUUUAUAUCUAUAAAAAUAAAAAAACAGAGGGAGGACUCAGAGGCCUGCGCAUGUUUUGUUAUUCAGACAAGUGUGCACAUGUGUGAAUUAAGAUUUUCAAAUAAAGUCUUCUCUGUAGACUGUCUGAAACAAAUGUGUACCCUUAAAUGCCCUGCUGGACGGAGCGGAGAGUAUAAUUGCAAGUUUUACAGUCGGGCAACGGAAAUUUGUUGGUGAACUUGAGCUUAAAAUACUGUAUAGAUUUUUUUCUAUAACAAUCAGCCCUCAGUUACAGUUAGUUAAGUGUGUGAGCUGAAGACAAAUAGCCAAAAUGAAACCAGAUUGUUCUCAUUUACUCUCAGAAACUGGAAUCAAACACUAAGCCUUUACCCCUAAUUGCAAAGAUCAA